CGUCUUUAGAUAAAUUAAAGGUACCGCCUGCUCCAUGCUUUAAUGUAAAUAGCCGCAGUAUUUUGACUGUGCUAAGGUAGCAUAAUCAUUCGUCUCUUAAUUAGAGGCUUGUAUGAAUGGCAACACGAGAGAAUUUCUGUCUCUUAGAAAAGUAUUGAAUUUCAUUUUUGAGUGAAAAAGCUUAAAUAUUUUCAUUGGACGAUCAGACCCUAUGGAGUUUUAUUGAAUUAAAGAUUUAAGCAAAAUUUUGAUUGUACCAUCUUUAUUUCUUUUUGGUUGGGGCGACUGGGAGUCUUAAGUACCACUCCUUUUAUUAAACAAAUAUUUUUGGAAAAUUGAUCCCAGCAGAUGGAUUAAAAGUCUAAGUUACCCUAGGGAUAACAGCGUAAUCCUUCUGGAGAGCUCUUAUCGAUAGAAGGGGUUGCGACCUCGAUGUUGGAUUGAGAAAUUACUAGGGUGCAGCAGCUCUAGAAAAAAGUCUGUUCGACUUUUAGAUUCUC
rnacentral:rRNA from 1 species